UCAGGAUGAACGCGGGCGGCGUGCUUAAUACAUGCAAGUCGAACGAAGAGUGUAGCAAUAUACUCUUAGUGGCGAAUGGGUGCGUAACGCGUUGGUGACCUGCCCCGAAGUGAGGGAUAACAGCUCGAAAGGGCUGCUAAUACCCCAUGUGGUCGCGAGGAUUAGAGGCCUUGCGUCUAAAGGAGUAAUCCGCUUCGGGAGGGGUCUGCGUCCCAUCAGCUUGUUGGUAGGGUAACGGCCUACCAAGGCUACGACGGGUAGGGGACCUGAGAGGGUGACCCCCCACACUGGCACUGAAAUACGGGCCAGACACCUACGGGUGGCAGCAGUAGGGAAUAUUGCACAAUGGGCGAAAGCCUGAUGCAGCAACGCCGCGUGCGCGAUGAAGGCCUUCGGGUCGUAAAGCGCUUUUUGAGGGGAUGAGGAAGGACAGUACCCUCAGAAUAAGGAUCGGCUAACUACGUGCCAGCAGCCGCGGUAAAACGUAGGAUCCGAGCGUUAUCCGAAUUUACUGGGCGUAAAGCGCGUGCAGGCGGUCCGAUAAGUUGGAUGUGAAAUCUCCUGGCUCAACUGGGAGAGGUCGUUCAAUACUGUCGGACUUGAGGAUGGUAGAGGGAGGUGGAAUUCCCGGUGUAGUGGUGAAAUGCGUAGAUAUCGGGAGGAACACCAGUGGCGAAAGCGGCCUCCUGGACCAUUUCUGACGCUCAGACGCGAAAGCUAGGGGAGCGAACGGGAUUAGAAACCCCGGUAGUCCUAGCUGUAAACGAUGUGAACUUGGCGUUGGUGGGGUAAAAGCCAUCAGUGCCGUAGCUAACGCGGUAAGUUUCACGCCUGGG
rnacentral:rRNA from 1 species